GAUGAACGCUGGCGGCGUGCCUAAUACAUGCAAGUAGAACGCUGAAGGAGGAGCUUGCUCUUCUGGAUGAGUUGCGAACGGGUGAGUAACGCGUAGGUAACCUGCCUGGUAGCGGGGGAUAACUAUUGGAAACGAUAGCUAAUACCGCAUGACAACAGUUAUUGCAUGAUAACUGUUGAAAAGGGGCAACUGCUCCACUACCAGAUGGACCUGCGUUGUAUUAGCUAGUUGGUGUGGUAACGCCUCACCAAGGCGACGAUACAUAGCCGACCUGAGACGGUGAGCGGCCGCACUGGGACUGAGACACGGCCCAGACUCCUACGGGAGGGAGCAGUAGGGAAUCUUCAGCAAUGGACGGAGGUCUGACCAAGCAACGCCGCGGGAGUGAAGAAGGUCUUCGGGUCGUAAAGCACUGUUGUAAGAGAGGAACGAGUGUGAGAGUGGAAAGUUCAGACAGUGACGGUAUCUGACCAGAAAGCGACGGCUAACUACGUG
rnacentral:rRNA from 1 species